AAAAAUAAUUUUGAUAUAUUAUUUUAAGGAAUAAAAUACUAUAUAUAUAACUCUUCAUUUAUUAAAAGAAAGACAUGUGUACAAAUUUGUACAAAUUAUAAUAAUAUCAAAAAUAUAACUGACAUAAUAUUUGAUUGUCUAAUAUCCUUUAAUAGAAUAUUUGAUAUAUUUUAACACCCCCACUCAAGUUGGUGCAUGGAUAUCAC
rnacentral:lncRNA from 1 species